AAAAAAUUUCCAUUGAAACUUUUGUGAAAGCUGUUGAUGAAAAUUCAGCCCCAGGCCACGGUGACCUUAUUUUUGUCAUUUAUAUUCUCAACCUAACAAUGUAGUAUGAUUUUAGCUAUGAUUUGGAUGCCCACUAUUUUUCCUAAUUGUUAUCACUAACAUAAUGUGAAUUUUGUUUAUACUUGUAACGCGCUGAUAGAUCCUUGUAUUGACUGCUAUAGAGUCUAGACUACAUGCCAGACCUGAUUUGGUAUUUGGUU
rnacentral:lncRNA from 1 species